rnacentral:rRNA from 1 species
UACAGAGGCCCCAAGCGUUACUGAGAAUCACUGGGUUUAAAGGGUGCGUAGGUGGUCCGUUAAGUUCGUUGUGAAAGCCCUGGGCUCAACCCAGGAACUGCUUCGAAUACUGGCGGACUUGAGGCUAGUAGAGGUCACUGGAACUGACGGUGGAGCGGUGAAAUGCGUAGAGAUCGGGUGGAACACCAGCGGCGAAGGCGGCAUCCUGGCCCUGACCUGACGCUGAGGCGCGAUAGCGUGGGGAGCAAACGGG